rnacentral:rRNA from 1 species
AUUGAACGCUGGCGGCAGGCUUAACACAUGCAAGUCGAGCGGGGAAAGGUAGCUUGCUACCUAACCUAGCGGCGGACGGGUGAGUAAUGCUUAGGAAUCUGCCUAUUAGUGGGGGACAACAUUCCGAAAGGAAUGCUAAUACCGCAUACGUCCUACGGGAGAAAGCAGGGGACCUUCGGGCCUUGCGCUAAUAGAUGAGCCUAAGUCGGAUUAGCUAGUUGGUGGGGUAAAGGCCUACCAAGGCGACGAUCUGUAGCGGGUCUGAGAGGAUGAUCCGCCACACUGGGACUGAGACACGGCCCAGACUCCUACGGGAGGCAGCAGUGGGGAAUAUUGGACAAUGGGGGGAACCCUGAUCCAGCCAUGCCGCGUGUGUGAAGAAGGCCUUUUGGUUGUAAAGCACUUUAAGCGAGGAGGAGGCUACUAGUAUUAAUACUACUGGAUAGUGGACGUUACUCGCAGAAUAAGCACCGGCUAACUCUGUGCCAGCAGCCGCCGAGUAACAC